rnacentral:rRNA from 1 species
GAACGCGAAGAACCUUACCAGGUCUUGACAUGUACGGAAUCCUCCAGAGACGGAGGAGUGCCUUCGGGAGCCGUAACACAGGUGCUGCAUGGCUGUCGUCAGCUCGUGUCGUGAGAUGUUGGGUUAAGUCCCGCAACGAGCGCAACCCUUGUCAUUAGCUGCCAUUAUUUAGUUGGGCACUCUAAUGAGACUGCCGGUGACAAGCCGGAGGAAGGUGGGGAUGACGUCAAGUCCUCAUGGCCCUUAUGACCAGGGCUUCACACGUCAUACAAUGGUCGGUACAGAGGGUAGCCAAGCCGCGAGGUGGAGCCAAUCUCACAAAACCGAUCGUAGUCCGGAUUGCACUCUGCAACUCGAGUGCAUGAAGUCGGAAUCGCUAGUAAUCGCAGGUCAGCAUACUGCGGUGAAUACGUUCCCGGGUCUUGUACACACC